rnacentral:rRNA from 1 species
UACUGUGAAACUGCGAACGGCUCAUUAAAUCAGUUAUCGUUUAUUUGAUAGUACCUUACUACAUGGAUAACCGUGGUAAUUCUAGAGCUAAUACAUGCUAAAAGCCCCAACUUCGGGAGGGGUGUAUUUAUUAGAUAAAAAGCCAAUGCCCUCCGGGGCUCCUUGGUGAUUCAUGAUAACUUGACGGAUCGCAUGGCCUUGCGCCGGCGAUGGUUCAUUCAAAUUUCUGCCCUAUCAACUUUCGAUGGUAGGAUCGGGGCCUACCAUGGUAUCAACGGGUAACGGGGAAUUAGGGUUCGAUUCCGGAGAAGGAGCCUGAGAAACGGCUACUACAUCCAAGGAAGGCAGCAGGCGCGCAAAUUACCCAAUCCCGACACGGGGAGGUAGUGACAAUAAAUACUGAUACAGGGCUCUUUUGGGUCUUGUAAUUGGAAUGAGUACAAUUUAAACCUCUUAACGAGGAACAAUUGGAGGGCAAGUCUGGUGCCAGCAGCCGCGGUAAUUCCAGCUCCAAUAGCGUAUAUUAAAGUUGUUGCAGUUAAAAAGCUCGUAGUUGAACCUUGGGCCUGGCUGGCCGGUCCGCCUCACCGCGUGCACUGGUUCGGCCGGGCCUUUCUUUCUGGGGGGCCGCAUGCUCUUCACUGGGCGUGUUGGCAAGCCAGGACUUUUACUUUGAAAAAAUUAGAGUGUUCAAAGCAGGCCUUUGCUCGAAUACAUUAGCAUGGAAUAAUGGAAUAGGACGGCGGUCCUAUUUUGUUGGUUUCUAGAACCGCCGUAAUGAUUAAUAGGGAUAGUCGGGGGCGUCAGUAUUCAAUUGUCAGAGGUGAAAUUCUUGGAUUUAUUGAAGACUAACUACUGCGAAAGCAUUCGCCAAGGAUGUUUUCAUUAAUCAGGAACGAAAGUUAGGGGAUCGAAGACGAUCAGAUACCGUCGUAGUCUUAACCGUAAACUAUGCCGACUAGGGAUCGGG